rnacentral:rRNA from 1 species
UGCAGGUCGAGGGGCAGCAUGGAGCCAGCUUUGCUGGGGUUGAUGGCGACCGGCGCACGGGUGAGUAACGCGUAUCCGACCUGCCCUUUACUCCGGGAUAGUCUCCUGAAAGGGAGUUUAAUACCGGAUGUGUUUGUCUUUCCGCAUGGGAGCGACAAAUAAAGAUUAAUUGGUAAAGGAUGGGGAUGCGUCCCAUUAGCUUGUUGGCGGGGUAACGGCCCACCAAGGCGACGAUGGGUAGGGGUUCUGAGAGGAAGGUCCCCCACAUUGGAACUGAGACACGGUCCAAACUCCUACGGGAGGCAGCAGUGAGGAAUAUUGGUCAAUGGGCGGGAGCCUGAACCAGCCAAGUAGCGUGAAGGACGACAGCCCUACGGGUUGUAAACUUCUUUUAUAAGGGAAUAAAGUUCGCCACGUGUGGUGUUUUGUAUGUACCUUAUGAAUAAGCAUCGGCUAAUUCCGUGCCAGCAGCCGCGGUAAUACGGAAGAUGCGAGCGUUAUCCGGAUUUAUUGGGUUUAAAGGGAGCGUAGGCGGGCUUUUAAGUCAGCGGUCAAAUGUCGUGGCUCAACCAUGUCAAGCCGUUGAAACUGUAAGCCUUGAGUCUGCACAGGGCACAUGGAAUUCGUGGUGUAGCGGUGAAAUGCUUAGAUAUCACGAAGAACUCCGAUCGCGAAGGCAUUGUGCCGGGGCAUAACUGACG